rnacentral:lncRNA from 1 species
AUCGACACAGUGGAAAAUCAUCUGAUUCCAUUGUUGAACUUCACACUCCAGGCACUUGCUCAUCCCUGAGAAAGAAUAGUACGGCAUUCAAGUUUACAUUUACUUCUGUUAAUGAACGACACUUAUUUGGUUCCAGAAAAGCUUAGAGGCAGCCAGUGUUUAGGAAGAGAUGUGUUCUUUUUAAGAUUCGAGUUUGUUGGGUCCUGUCCCCUCCCCCAAGAAAACUCUCACAUUGUUUUGUAAAACUUUCUCUGGAAGAGGUAGAGACUAAGAAGUUGACAUCACUUUAAGCUAACCCUCUUUUAUUCAAGUCAUAGAGCUUGAUUGCCUUUCUGAACAUGCCCCUGACCAGGACAGGGUGGUGAUGGUAGUGGUAGUGGAACUGAAAGAAAUGGGACGUGGGUUAUUUGCACAUUUUAAGGAAAUUUACUUAAACUGGGACUUUUUCUCUAACCUGAGGUUAUGACAUGGGUUUAUGAAUCCCAUGAUUCCCGGGUUAAUGGAAGCUCAUUUGAAUGUGUACUCUUGCCUGGGACAAACGACUUUUCAAUUUUCAAAUAAAAGUGUAGUUGACCUUAGGCCCGCCCCCCAUAUAAGCUGCCUGUUUUUCCACUGAAGCCAAAUCCCGUUUUGUACAAUCUUUCUUGGCUGACUACGCUCCCAGGGGGCGUAAGUGAAGCCAAGCCCCAGGAGGCUGUUAGGCAAGGCAGGAACUUGUAUGACCUCAGGGACAGCCAGCUAACCCCUGAAUGUUGGCUUUGCACAUCUGCUGGGCUUCUCAGAGCAGGAGCCUGGAUUGGAAACUGAAUGAAGCAAGUUCUGCAUGGAGUUGAGGAAAAAUAUCAGACUCAGCAUUUUUUUUAUUUUUAUUAUUUUUUUAAAAGACUUGUCAUUUAUUUAGCAAUGAGGAGGAGAGACCUCACUAGCCAGAGGUUGGAUAACCACUACUCCCUAGUUCCUUAACCCAAUAAAUUAGAUUUUUUCCUUCUUUUGAGACAGGGUGUAGCUCUGUGUUGCCCAGGCUGCAGUGCAGUGGCACCAUCUCGGCUUGGUGCAGCCUUGACUUCCUGGGCUCAAGCGAUCCUCCCAACUCGGUCUCCUGAGUAGCUGGGACUACAGGUGCGUGCCACCAUGCCCAGUUCAUUUAUUUUUUGUUUUUUAGACGGGGUCUCACUAUGUUGCUCAGUCUCGAACUCCUGGGCUCAAGCAAUCCUCCUGCUUUGGCCUCCCAACGGACAGGGAUUACAGGCGUGAGUCACUGUGCCUGACUACACUUUCUUUAGUACAGGAUAUAACCAACAUCUUGCCUCCUAAGAGUCAGGGGCAGGAGUAUAGGUGAUUGUACUUCAGGUAGAGGAAAGAUCUCAUUCACAGAGGAGGGGAG